rnacentral:rRNA from 1 species
GACAGAGGUUGCAAGCGUUGUUCGGAAUUACUGGGCAUAAAGCGCACGUAGGCGGUCCGCUAAGUCAUGUGUGAAAUCCCCCGGCUCAACCGGGGAAUGGCGCCUGAUACUGGCGGACUCGAGAUCGGUAGGGGUGAGUGGAACUCCAGGUGGAGCGGUGAAAUGCGUAGAUAUCUGGAGGAACACCGGUGGCGAAAGCGACUCACUGGACCGACACUGACGCUGAUGAGCGAAAGCCAGGGGAGCAAACGGG